AUAGGCCAUGUCGAGCGGGCCGCCUUCGAUGAGGUCGAAGAAGUCCCGCGGUUCGACGCCGAGGGCCUGGGC
rnacentral:tRNA from 1 species